rnacentral:rRNA from 1 species
GACGAACGCUGGCGGCGUGCUUAACACAUGCAAGUCGAACGGUGAAGCGCCUUCCUUUUUGGUGGGUGUGGAUGAGUGGCGAACGGGUGAGUAACACGUGAGUAACCUGCCCCCUUCUUCUGGAUAACCGCAUGAAAGUGUGGCUAAUACGGAAUAUUCUGGGUCUGUCGCAUGAUGGGUCUGGGAAAGAUAUUGUUUCGGUGGGGGAUGGGCUCGCGGCCUAUCAGCUUGUUGGUGGGGUGAUGGCCUACCAAGGCGGUGACGGGUAGCCGGCCUGAGAGGGUGGACGGUCACACUGGGACUGGGACACGGCCCAGACUCCUACGGGAGGCAGCAGUGGGGAAUAUUGCACAAUGGGCGCAAGCCUGAUGCAGCGACGCCGCGUGAGGGAUGGAGGCCUUCGGGUUGUGAACCUCUUUCGCCAGUGAAGCAGGCCUGCCUCGUUUGUGGGUGGGUUGACGGUAGCUGGAUAAGAAGCGCCGGCUAACUACGUG